GCUGGGUACUAUGGCAGGUACCUGUAAUCCCAGAUACUCAGAGGCUGAGAUGGAAGGAUCACUUGAGCUCAGCAGUUUGAUGCCUGGACAUCAUAGUGAGAAC
rnacentral:sRNA from 1 species